GAUGAACGCUGGCGGCGUGCCUAAUACAUGCAAGUCGAGCGAAUGGAUUAAGAGCUUGCUCUUAUGAAGUUAGCGGCGGACGGGUGAGUAACACGUGGGUAACCUGCCCAUAAGACUGGGAUAACUCCGGGAAACCGGGGCUAAUACCGGAUAACAUUUUGAACCGCAUGGUUCGAAAUUGAAAGGCGGCUUCGUCUGUCACUAAUGGAUGGACCCCCGUCGCAUUAGCUAGUUGGUGAGGUAACGGCUCACCAAGGCAACGAUGCGUAGCCGACCUGAGAGGGUGAUCGGCCACACUGGGACUGAGACACGGCCCAGACUCCUACGGGAGGCAGCAGUAGGGAAUCUUCCGCAAUGGACGAAAGUCUGACGGAGCAACGCCGCGUGAGUGAUGAAGGCUUUCGGGUCGUAAAACUCUGUUGUUAGGGAAGAACAAGUGCUAGUUGAAUAAGCUGGCACCUUGACGGUACCUAACCAGAAAGCCACGGCUAACUACGUGCCAGCCGCCGCCGUAA
rnacentral:rRNA from 1 species